rnacentral:rRNA from 1 species
UACGUAGGGUGCAAGCGUUGUCCGGAAUUAUUGGGCGUAAAGAGCUUGUAGGCGGUUUGUCGCGUCUGCUGUGAAAUUUCGGGGCUCAACCCCGAACUUGCAGUGGGUACGGGCAGACUAGAGUAUGGUAGGGGAGACUGGAAUUCCUGGUGUAGCGGUGAAAUGCGCAGAUAUCAGGAGGAACACCGAUGGCGAAGGCAGGUCUCUGGGCCACUACUGACGCUGAGAAGCGAAAGCGUGGGGAGCGAACAGG